rnacentral:rRNA from 1 species
UACGGAGGGUGCGAGCGUUGUCCGGAAUCACUGGGCGUAAAGGGCGCGUAGGCGGCGCGGGGAGUCAACGGUGAAAGCUCGGCGCUCAACGCCGAGUCGGCCGUCGAUACUCCCGUGCUCGAGCACUGUAGAGGCAGGUGGAAUUCCGGGUGUAGCGGUGGAAUGCGUAGAGAUCCGGAAGAACACCAGUGGCGAAGGCGACUCGCUGGACAGGUAUUGACGCUGAGGUGCGAAAGCGUGGGGAGCAAACAGG